rnacentral:lncRNA from 1 species
AACUUAAAAUCACAUCAGCAAAGUCCCUUUUACUACAUAAAAGAACGUAAUUACCGGUUCUAGAACUUCACUGGGCAGUGUGACGUUGGCCAUCAUUUGGCCAAUAUGAAAGGGAAAGAACUGAAAGUGGAGAAAGCCCACCACAGGAAGGUAACACACUUCCAUCAAGCAACUCUCUGACUGAGGAACUAAGCAAUGUCGCCCGGCUCCACGAUGUUCCCAAAGAAAAAGAAAAAAAGGUGUCUCAACUAUAAGGCAGAGGGAGCCUAUCCGGCGCAUGUUCGAUGGUGAUGCAAGCUAGAAAGAAGACUGUUGCAUUAGGCUAUCGAGAUUUGAGUUCUGAUCACAGAAGUGGCCUGGCUUGGACGUCACUGUUAAUAUUCCUGAGGAGAACUUUGUUACUGCAAGUUAUUAAUCGAAAGUCUAAUGAGAAUGGUUUGAUUACACUGUUUGAUUUUUCCAUUCUAUUUGCAAUCCAGUGGGAUUUUCACUCUUGAUAUCAUUAACUCUUCAUAUUUAAAUUUUUAUCCUCGUUUAGUAGCCAUCUGUUGUCCUUUACAUGUCAAAAAAAUCUGAAUUUUCUGUUCUUUUGAGGAAAUUGGAAUAGAAGACAUUAUAAACAAAAAUGAAUUUCAUUAAAGUUUUGAUGUUCUAAAAUUUAAAAUAUCUCAGCCUAUUCAGAAGGCAUCCUUUACUUGAUUUCAUUCAUAUUGGUUGUUAUGGUUAAUAUUUAGUGUCAACCUAAUUGGAUUGAAGG